rnacentral:rRNA from 1 species
GCAUUAAGUGCCCCGCCUGGGGAGUACGACCGCAAGGUUGAAACUCAAAGGAAUUGACGGGGGCCCGCACAAGCGGUGGAGCAUGUGGUUUAAUUCGAUGCAACGCGAAGAACCUUACCUGGGCUUGAACCGCAGAUGAAAACCCUUGAAAGAGGGCUCUCCUUCGGGACAUCUGUAGAGGUGCUGCAUGGCGGUCGUCAGCUCGUGCCGUGAGGUGUUGGGUUAAGUCCCGCAACGAGCGCAACCCUUGCCCUUAGUUGCCAUCAGGUAAUGCUGGGCACUCUAAGGGGACUGCCCCAGAUAAUGGGGAGGAAGGUGGGGAUGACGUCAAGUCCUCAUGGCCCUUACGUCCAGGGCUACACACGUGCUACAAUGGUCGGUACAACGGGCAGCAAUACCGCGAGGUGGAGCAAAUCCCUUAAAACCGGCCUCAGUUCAGAUUGUAGUCUGCAACUCGACUGCAUGAAGUCGGAAUCGUUAGUAAUCGCGGAUCAGCAUGCCGCGGUGAAUACGUUCCCGGGCCUUG